UAGGGAAUCUUCCGCAAUGGACGCAAGUCUGACGGAGCAACGCCGCGUGAGUGAAGAAGGAUUUCGGUUCGUAAAACUCUGUUGUUAGAGAAGAACAGCGCAUAGAGUAACUGUUAUGCGUGUGACGGUAUCUAACCAGAAAGGGACGGCUAACUACGUGCCAGCAGCCGCGGUAAUACGUAGGUCCCGAGCGUUGUCCGGAUUUAUUGGGCGUAAAGCGAGCGCAGGCGGUUAGAAAAGUCUGAAGUGAAAGGCAGUGGCUCAACCAUUGUAGGCUUUGGAAACUGUUUAACUUGAGUGCAGAAGGGGAGAGUGGAAUUCCAUGUGUAGCGGUGAAAUGCGUAGAUAUAUGGAGGAACACCAGUGGCGAAGGCGACUCUCUGGUCUGUAACUGACGCUGAGGCUCGAAAGCGUGGGUAGCAAACAGG
rnacentral:rRNA from 1 species